UGUUCUCAACAUAAAACAACUGUUAGCUACCGAGCUACUUCUAGAGUUUUACUUUACCACGCAAGCCUGUUGCUGUAAAGUUAUUUGAGAUAACUGCAGAUACAUUUGCGAGAUGUACAUUAUUAAUUCAAUAAUAUUUAUGCUUGCUACACGUACCAUAUUCUUAUUCAGACUUUAUUGAUAAGGUGGUGUUGAUAAAUUCAAAAACUACAUGCAAAGUCAAACUUCUGCUGUUAUUUUGGUGAAAGUAAUGCAAAAGUAUUGUUCUGCAUUUACUCACAGGUUUCCGGAAGAAGAUGCAGAAGAAGGGGAAAAAAGAACAAUGAAAUCCUCCUUGCAUGGACCAGGUCUGUCAUAAAUCAUAUGUGGUUUUCCUGUGCAACCAGUAAGGGGGACGUCGAGGAGAAGCACGGUUCAACAAAAUGUUCUGCAAGAAAUCCAAGCAGUGGGUCUCGAAGAAAAGCUCAUACCACACACCACACAGUUUGUAGACGAACUCAUCCAGAAGGCCAUUGACAAGACUCAAUCCAAACA